rnacentral:lncRNA from 1 species
GUAUGGGUGAUGGGUGGCUAGCUACACCCUCAUAUUGUGAGAAUUUGAAGACCUUGAGGUUCCAGUAUUGUAAGAUCAUGGAUCAAAAUCCAGGUAUGAAGGAGUAUUUAUUUGGGUUCUUGUCCUGCACUUGAAAAACUUCAUUAGUAGAAAUGUCAUCAAUUGUUGAGAUAAGAAGAGCAUUGCAACUAUGGUUUCUAUAUUCAAGGCUGUCAGCGAGAUUAUUCUUCAGUUGAGUUUGCUUUUUUCCACAGGUCAUGCCUGGGUGACUGAUGUGCUAAUCCUGAACUCAUAUAGGUACCAUUCUCAAACCUCUAGAUGGCUCCUCUCAUUUUCUUUUAUAUUCAUCACUAUAAUUGGACUCUUUGGGUGGGUAAAUUUUCAUGUAGUUGUUAUGUAAGCCUGAUGCAGCAGCGGAUGAAGCUGACUCUUGGCUAUCUUGAGCUUCAACAGUGGCUUGUCUCAUCAAG